rnacentral:rRNA from 1 species
GACGAACGCUGGCGGCGUGCCUAAUACAUGCAAGUCGAACGCAGUGGGGACGGGUGAGUAACAAGUGGGUAACCUCCCAUGAGAGGGGAUAAAACAUGGAAACAGGUGCUAAAACGAUACUGAUGGAUGGACCCGCGGUGAAUUAGCUCGUUGGUGAGGAAACGGCGCACCAAGGCUACGAUGCAUAGCCGACCUGAGAGGGUGAUCGGCCACACUGGGACGGAGACACGGCCCAGACUCCUACGGGAGGCAGCCGUAGGGAAUCUUCGGCAAUGGACGAAAGUCUGACCUAGCAACGUCGCGUGAGUGAAGAAGGUGUUCGGAUCGUAAAACUCUGUUGUUAGGGAAGCGGUAUCUAACCAGAAAGCCACGGCUAACUACGUGCCAGCAGCCGCGGUAAUAC